rnacentral:rRNA from 1 species
UAAAGCGUGCGCAGGCGGUUAUGUAAGACAGAUGUAGAACGUCCCGGCUACACCGGGAACUGCAUUUGUGACUGCAUGGCUAGAGUACGGUAGAGGGGGAUGGAAUUCCGCGUGUAGCAGUGAAAUGCGUAGAUAUGCGGAGGAACACCGAUGGCGAAGGCAAUCCCCUGGACCUGUACUGACGCUCAUGCACGAAAGCGUGGGGAGCAAACAGGAUUAGAUACCCCAGU